UACGGGGGGAGCAAGCGUUGUUCGGAUUUACUGGGCGUAAAGGGCGCGUAGGCGGUCAGCACAAGUCAGUUGUGAAAUCUCCGGGCUUAACUCGGAAAGGUCAACUGAUACUGUGCGACUAGAGUGCAGAAGGGGCAACUGGAAUUCUCGGUGUAGCGGUGAAAUGCGUAGAUAUCGGGAGGAACACCGAUGGCGAAGGCAGGUCUCUGGGCCAUAACUGACGCUGAGAAGCGAAAGCAUGGGGAGCGAACAGG
rnacentral:rRNA from 1 species